rnacentral:lncRNA from 1 species
GUGUGUGUGUCUGUGUGUGUGUGUGUGUCUGUGUGUCUGUGUGUGUGUGUGUGUGUGUGUGUGUGUGUGUGUGUGUGUGUGUGUGUGUGUGUGUGUGUGUGUGUGUGUGUGUAUGGGAUUAUCAGGGAGAGCCUGGAGAACAAGGUGUACCUGGCCUAAGAGGUCAAAUUGGACCAAUGGGUCCUGAAGGACCACCUGGCCCCCCUGGGAAAUCAGUGGGUGGGUCAGGCACUGGAACAGAUGGGCUGGAUGGGUUACCUGGCACACCAGGAUCCAAGGGUGAAGCAGGGAAAAAAGGAGAGCCUGGACCGAGGGGAGAGAAAGGUGAAGUCGGACGAGUUGGAAUUGCUGGGAUGCCCGGACUUCCUGGGACUCCUGGCAGACCAGGCAUCGAUGGAAAGCGGGGCAUCGCAGGAAAAGAUGUGAGUUUUCCACUGCUGGUACCCUACUCUUCAUUCGGCACAUGUGAUGUGGUAAUAUGGUCCUAA